rnacentral:rRNA from 1 species
UACGGAGGGUGCAAGCGUUAUCCGGAUUCACUGGGUUUAAAGGGUGCGUAGGCGGCCCGUUAAGUCAGUGGUGAAAGCCUCCAGCUCAACUGGAGAACUGCCAUUGAUACUGACGGGCUUGAGUACAGACGAGGUUGGCGGAAUUGAUUGUGUAGCGGUGAAAUGCAUAGAUACAAUCAAGAACUCCGAGUGCGUAGGCAGCUAACUAGGCUGUAACUGACGCUGAGGCACGAAAGCGUGGGGAGCGAACAGG